rnacentral:tRNA from 1 species
GGCCCCGUAGCUCAGCAAGGAAGAGCGCGGGCCUUCGGAGCCCGUGGUCCCGGGUUCAAGUCCCGGCGGGGCCG